UUCUUGGAUCAGGUGGCUAAUUUCAUCAUCGAGAACACUAAAGGCCACACUCUAGGCCCAGCCCCCGCCUCGGCCACAGACCCCUUCACAGGUGCGGGACGCUACAUUCCGGGUUCAGGAGGUGACGACCAAGGAUUUGGCGCUGAUCCUUUCACAGGGGCUGGACGAUAUAUACCCGGGUCAGAAUCCACAGGCACAGUGUCUUCAGGCAGAGCUGAUCCAUUUACUGGU